GGGUGCUUGGCGCAAUGGCUAGCGUGUUUGGCUUCGAUGCUUGACGUAGCGCGUGGGAAACACGUGACCAAAAGGUUGUAGGUUCGAGUCCUACAGUACUCA